CCAGAUCUAUUGUCUAAAAAUAAUUCUACAUCUCACUGAAAAGUUGCUCUUUAGGCGAUUAUGUCUUAUUUUAAGUGAGAUAUUCUUGACUAGAAAUGAGGAAAAACAACUUGGUAAGAUUGGAUAUUUCUCCAGUGAAAUGGAUCAUAUCUGAUGACAUGAAAAGAUGAUAAACUGGAUUCUACAGCAAUUAUUGACAUGUAUUGAUAAGAUUAGUGGAUCAACAGGUAUUAAAACAUUUAUAUCAGUAGUGGUUUUGGUCGCCAGGGAUGUUUUUAGGUCUUUAUGGGUUAAAAUUAAUCAUGGUUCAAAAUGGUUAAAGAAAUGAGUGAGCUUAUGUGAAGAAUUGACAAAGAUCGGUUGUCUUAGUAACUGAAAAGGAAAACUUGACAGUAUGUGGUGGGAUUAAUAAACAUUAAUGUUACUGAUAUUCCGAGCCUGUUUAAGGAAAGAAAUGUCAUUUAAAGAUGAAGUUUAUUUUUCUAUCUGGGGAGAAUUUCAUGUCCAAACUUUCAUUUUUUAGUUUCUGACUCUUUAAAACAGGUUUGUACUGCAGUGAAUUCUGGGUAAAUUAAAGUUGAGGUUAAGGUGGUCAAAUGUACAAAACUCUUCAUUCCAGAUGUUUUUCCUCCAUCAGAGCACUUGAAUGUAUAAAAAACUAUGUGAUACUGAUGUACAUUUGUAAAUAAAUCUUUAUUGUUCUACAGUUUA